rnacentral:lncRNA from 1 species
GUAGGGGUAUCGAAAGCUUGAAAAGAAGAAGCGUUUCUUAGUCCUUUGUAUUUGAUAGUUUUUAUUCUAUAUAAUGAUGAUACAAAAGAUAAAUACUAAUAUAUAACAGGUACCUUAUUACUUAUGAAUAUAAUUUCAUUUUUCGAUUAACAUUGGCUUCUUCUUUGUCCUAGCAUUAGCAUCUUUCAAAAAAUUAAUUUUCUUGUGCCACUAUUUUGUUUUUCCAUCUUGUCAAAGUAUUAUUUAUUACCAAACUUUUGGCUUAUUGAUGCAUCAUUGACAAAGACUCUCGUUUGUCUUGUAAUG